rnacentral:rRNA from 1 species
GACGAACGCUGGCGGCGUGCCUAAUACAUGCAAGUCGAACGAGAGCGACCGGUGCUUGCACUGGUCAAUCUAGUGGCGAACGGGUGAGUAACACGUGGGUAACCUGCCCAUCAGAGGGGGAUAACAUCCGGAAACGGAUGCUAAGACCGCAUAGGUCUUCGAACCGCAUGGUUUGAAGAGGAAAAGAGGCGCAAGCUUCUGCUGAUGGAUGGACCCGCGGUGCAUUAGCUAGUUGGUGAGGUAACGGCUCACCAAGGCCGUGAUGCAUAGCCGACCUGAGAGGGUGAUCGGCCACAUUGGGACUGAGACACGGCCCAAACUCCUACGGGAGGCAGCAGUAGGGAAUCUUCCGCAAAGGACGCAAGUCUGACGGAGCAACGCCGCGUGAGUGAAGAAGGUUUUCGGAUCGUAAAACUCUGUUGUUAGAGAAGAACAAGUGCUAGAGUAACUGUUAGCGCCUUGACGGUAUCUAACCAGAAAGCCACGGCUAACUACGUG